CGAAGGAUGCAAGCGUUAUCCGGAUUCAUUGGGUUUAAAGGGUGCGUAGGCGGACUGAUAAGUCAGUGGUGAAAUCUCUCAGCUUAACUGAGAAACUGCCAUUGAUACUGUUAGUCUAGAGUAUAGAUGACGUUGGCGGAAUAUGACAUGUAGUGGUGAAAUACUUAGAUAUGUCAUAGAACACCGAUUGCGAAGGCAGCUAACGAAACCAUAACUGACGCUGAGGCACGAAAGUGCGGGGAUCAAACAGGAUUAGAUACCCUGGUAGUCCGCACCGUAAACGAUGAUUACUCGUUGUUGGCGAUAUGACAGUCAGCGACCAAGCGAAAGCGAUAAGUAAUCCACCUGGGGAGUACGCCGGCAACGGUG
rnacentral:rRNA from 1 species